rnacentral:rRNA from 1 species
UACGUAGGGUGCAAGCGUUGUCCGGAAUUAUUGGGCGUAAAGAGCUUGUAGGCGGUUUGUCGCGUCUGCUGUGAAAUUUCGGGGCUCAACCCCGAACUUGCAGUGGGUACGGGCAGACUAGAGUGUGGUAGGGGAGACUGGAAUUCCUGGUGUAGCGGUGAAAUGCGCAGAUAUCGAGAGGAACACCUGCGGCGAAGGCGGGUAGCUGGGCCGACACUGACGCUGAGGCGCGAAAGCCAGGGGAGCGAACGGG